UGGGUUGUCGUGGGGUCACGAGGUGUUUGUGGGGUGCCCAUAUAGGGUGUCCUUGGGGUCCUGGGGUGCCCAUAGGGUAUCCACAGGGCACGUGUGGGGUGUCUGUGGGGCAUGUGUGGGGUCAGAGGGUGUCUGUGGGGUGCCCACAGUGGGGUGGCCACGUUGGUGUGGGGUGUCCGUGUUGUUAUAGGGUGGCCGUGUCCCUGUGGGAUGUCCGUGUUGGUGUAGGGUGGCCACGAUGCUAUAGGAUCUCCACGUUGUGGGAUCUCCUUGAUUUUAUAGGAUCUCCAUGAUGUUAUGGGAUAUCCACGAUGUUAUGGGGUGUCUGAGUUGUUAUGGGAUGCCCACGUUCCUGGGGGAUGUCCAUGCUGUUGUAGGAUCCCCAUGUUCCUGUGGGAUGAGUGUGGGACGUCCCCGUUCGGUGGCCAUCCCCGUCGUCCCAGUCCAUCCCAGUCUGUGGUGUCGCUGUGGGGUUGGGACGGGGGCGGGCGCUGCCCCGUGCCAGCCCCCUGUAGGGUCACGGCUGGGCUGGGAUAACGGGAUUGGGAUCAGCGCUGGGAUAACGGGACUGGGACCAGCACUGGGAUAAGCCGCCCCCGCUGGGACCCCAUGGCCUGCAGCCACACGGCCCCCCCCCGGCACCCCAAUACCCAGCCCUGCCGCCCCGUGCCGAGGGUGCACGCUUUUGGGAAGGGGGGGCAGGCCGUGCGCAGGGACCCCCGCGCCCCCCCGGCCAUGAGGGGCUGGCUGCACAAACAGGUGGGGCUGGGG